CCUACGGGAGGCUGCAGUGAGGAAUAUUGGUCAAUGGGCGCAAGCCUGAACCAGCCAAGUCGCGUGAGGGAUGACGGUCCUAUGGAUUGUAAACCUCUUUUGUCGGGGAGCAAGGCCCGCCACGUGUGGCGGGAAGGAAAGUACCCGAAGAAAAAGCAUCGGCUAACCCCGGGCCACCAGCGGCGGUAACACGGAGGAUGAGAGCGUUAUCGGGCUUUAUUGGGUUUAAAGGGUGCGUAGGCGGAAGGUUAAGUCAGCGGUAAAAUGUCGGUGGUCAACACCGUCCUGCCGUUGAAACUGGUCUUCUUGAGUGAGCGAGAAGUAUGCGGAAUGCGUGGUGUAGCGGUGAAAUGCAUAGAUAUCACGCAGAACUCCGAUUGCGAAGGCAGCAUACCGGCGCUCAACUGACGCUGAGGCACGAAAGCGUGGGGAUCGAACAGGAUUAGAUACCCGGGUAGUC
rnacentral:rRNA from 1 species